AUUGAACGCUGGCGGCAUGCCUUACACAUGCAAGUCGAACGGCAGCACGGGUCCUUCCCCCGGGUGGCGCGUGGCGCACGUGUGAGUAAUACAUCAGUACAUCUCCUGUAGGGGGGGAUAGCCCUGCGAAAGCCGGAUUAAUACCCCAUACGCUCCACGGGUGAAAGGGGGGGCCUUUCGGGCCUCGCUCUCUAGUGUUGGCCGAUGGCUGAUUAGCUAGUUGGUGGGGUAAAGGCCUACCAAGGCGACGAUCAGUAGCUGGUCUGAGAGGACGACCAGCCACACUGGGACUGAGACACGGCCCAGACUCCUACGGGAGGCAGCAGUGGGGAAUUUUGGACAAUGGGCGAAAGCCUGAUCCAGCAAUGCCGCGUGUGUGAAGAAGGCCUUCGGGUUGUAAAGCACUUUUGUCCGGAAAGAAAUCCUUGGCUCUAAUACAGUCGGGGGAUGACGGUACCGGAAGAAUAAGCACCGGCUAACUACGUG
rnacentral:rRNA from 1 species